rnacentral:rRNA from 1 species
GGGGAAUAUUGCGCAAUGGGCGAAAGCCUGACGCAGCAACGCCGCGUGAGCGAUGAAGGCCCUUGGGUUGUAAAGCUCUUUCGGCUGGGAAUAAGGCACACAGGUUUAAGAGAUAUGUGUGUUGAUGGUACCAGAAUAAGAAGCACCGGCUAACUUCGUGCCAGCAGCCGCGGUAAUACGAAGGGUGCAAGCGUUGUUCGGAAUUACUGGGCGUAAAGGGUUCGUAGGUUGGAAUGUAAGUCGAAUGCGAAAUCCCUGGGCUUAACCCAGGACGUGCAUUCGAAACUACAUUUCUUGAAUAUUGGAGGGGGUCGCGGAAUUGCUGGUGUAGGAGUGAAAUCCGUAGAUAUCAGCAGGAACAUCAGAGGCGAAAGCGGCGACCUGGCCAAAUAUUGACACUGAGGAACGAAAGCGUGGGUAGCAAAC